rnacentral:rRNA from 1 species
AUUGAACGCUGGCGGCAGGCCUAACACAUGCAAGUCGAGCGGUAGAGAGAAGCUUGCUUCUCUUGAGAGCGGCGGACGGGUGAGUAAUGCCUAGGAAUCUGCCUGGUAGUGGGGGAUAACGUUCGGAAACGGACGCUAAUACCGCAUACGUCCUACGGGAGAAAGCAGGGGACCUUCGGGCCUUGCGCUAUCAGAUGAGCCUAGGUCGGAUUAGCUAGUUGGUGGGGUAAUGGCUCACCAAGGCGACGAUCCGUAACUGGUCUGAGAGGAUGAUCAGUCACACUGGAACUGAGACACGGUCCAGACCCCUACGGGAGGCAGCAGUGGGGAAUAUUGGACAAUGGGCGAAAGCCUGAUCCAGCCAUGCCGCGUGUGUGAAGAAGGUCUUCGGAUUGUAAAGCACUUUAAGUUGGGAGGAAGGGCAGUAAAUUAAUACUUUGCUGUUUUGACGCUACCGACAGAAUAAGCACCGGCUAACUCUGUGCCAGCAGCCGCCGCCG